GCUUACGGCCAUACCACCCUGAGCACAACUGAUCUCGGAAGCUAAGCAGGGUCGGGCCUGGUUAGUACUUGGAUGGGAGACCGCCUGGGAAUACCAGGUGCUGUAAGCU
rnacentral:rRNA from 1 species